rnacentral:rRNA from 1 species
CUACGGGCGGCACCAGUCGAGAAUAUUGGUCAAUGGGCGAAAGCCUGAACCAGCGACGUCGCGUGUAGGACUAAGAUCUUCGGAUUGUAAACUACUUUUAUAAGGGAAGAAUUUUUAAUGACGGUACCUUAUGAAUAAGGGGUGACUAAAUUCGUGCCAGCAGUAGCGGUAAUACGAAUGCCCCGAGCGUUAUCCGGAUUAAUUGGGCGUAAAGGGUCCGUAGGCGGCUUAUUAAGUUUUCCGUUAAAUCUCUAGGGCUUAACCUUAGAGCUGCGGGAAAAACUGAUAAACUAGAGGAUGUUAGAGGCUAACAGAAUGCCUGGUGGAGGGGUGGAAUCCGUUGAUAUCAGGUAGAAUACCAAAAGCGAAGGCAGUUAGCUGGGGCAAUCCUGACGCUGAGGGACGAAAGCGUGGGGAGAAAAAAGGAUUAGAUACCCUCGUAGUC